GAUGAACGCUGGCGGCGUGCCUAAUACAUGCAAGUCGAGCGAACGGACGAGAAGCUUGCUUCUCUGAUGUUAGCGGCGGACGGGUGAGUAACACGUGGAUAACCUACCUAUAAGACUGGGAUAACUUCGGGAAACCGGGGCUAAUACCGGAUGAUAUUUUGAACCGCAUGGUUCAAAAGUGAAAGACGGUCUUGCUGUCACUUAUAGAUGGAUCCGCGCUGCAUUAGCUAGUUGGUAAGGUAACGGCUUACCAAGGCAACGAUGCAUAGCCGACCUGAGAGGGUGAUCGGCCACACUGGAACUGAGACACGGUCCAGACUCCUACGGGAGGCAGCAGUAGGGAAUCUUCCGCAAAGGGCGAAAGCCUGACGGAGCAACGCCGCGUGAGUGAUGAAGGUCUUCGGAUCGUAAAACUCUGUUAUUAGGGAAGAACAUAUGUGUAAGUAACUGUGCACAUCUUGACGGUACCUAAUCAGAAAGCCACGGCUAACUACGUG
rnacentral:rRNA from 1 species